UACGUAGGGUGCAAGCGUUGUUCGGAAUCAUUGGGCGUAAAGGGCGCGUAGGCGGCUGCCUAAGUCUGGUGUGAAAGCCCGGGGCUUAACCCCGGAAGCGCACUGGAUACUGGGCAGCUAGAGGGCGGGAGAGGGAAGUGGAAUUCCUGGUGUAGGGGUGAAAUCCGUAGAUAUCAGGAGGAACAUCGGCGGCGAAGGCGGCUUCCUGGCUCGUUACUGACGCUGAGGCGCGAAAGCGUGGGGAGCAAACAGG
rnacentral:rRNA from 1 species